rnacentral:rRNA from 1 species
AUUGAACGCUGGCGGCAGGCCUAACACAUGCAAGUCGAACGGUAACAGGAAGAAGCUUGCUUCUUUGCUGACGCGUGGCGGACGGGUGUGUAAUGUCUGGGAAACUGCCUGAUGGAGGGGGAUAACUACUGGAAACGGUAGCUAAUACCGCAUAACGUCGCAAGAGCAAAGAGGGGGACCUUCGGGCCUCUUGCCAUCGGCUGUGCCCAGAUGGGGUUAGCUAGUAGGUGGGGUAACGGCUCACCUAGGCGACGAUCACUAGCUGGUCUGAGAGGAUGACCAGCCACACUGGAACUGAGACACGGUCCAGACUCCUACGGGAGGCAGCAGUGGGGAAUAUUGCACAAUGGGCGCAAGCCUGAUGCAGCCAUGCCGCGUGUAUGAAGAAGGCCUUCGGGUUGUAAAGUACUUUCAGCGGGGAGGAAGGGAGUAAAGUUAAUACCUUGACUCAUUGACGUUACCCGCAGAAGAAGCACCGGCUAACUCCGUG